CAGUUCAUCCUGAAAGUUGGAAUCCUAUGUGGUCUGUUUCAAGCAUACUCACAGGGCUUCUUUCAUUCAUGAUGGACAACAGCCCAACCACCGUCAGUGUAAAAACCACCUCCGCCGAGAAGCAGCGUUUAGCAAAAUCUUCCCAUUCUUUCAAUUGCAAGAAGUAGGUCUAUUGCAUCAUCUUCUCCC